AUUGAACGCUGGCGGCAUGCCUUACACAUGCAAGUCGAACGGUAACGGGCCUUCGGGUGCCGACGAGUGGCGAACGGGUGAGUAAUGUAUCGGAACGUACCUUUCAGUGGGGGAUAACGUAGCGAAAGUUACGCUAAUACCGCAUAUUCUGUGAGCAGGAAAGCGGGGGAUCGCAAGACCUUGCGCUGAUUGAGCGGCCGAUAUCAGAUUAGCUAGUUGGUGAGGUAAAGGCUCACCAAGGCGACGAUCUGUAGCGGGUCUGAGAGGAUGAUCCGCCACACUGGAACUGAGACACGGUCCAGACUCCUACGGGAGGCAGCAGUGGGGAAUUUUGGACAAUGGGCGCAAGCCUGAUCCAGCAAUGCCGCGUGCGGGAAGAAGGCCUCGGUUGUAACGAC
rnacentral:rRNA from 1 species